UUUCUUGAUAACCACGACGCGUUAUGUUUGUUGAUACCUUGGGCGACUUGAAGGUUUGGGCGAGAAUAGAAUAACAGCUCUGGGCGACCGUAUAACACUCUAUUCGUUCAGAUUCUGGGCGACUUACAAACUUGGGCGAUGGCGUUACAGCAUUCUUGGGCCCCCUUAUUUGGGCCUUCACCUUGAUUUGUUCGAUUGGAC
rnacentral:lncRNA from 1 species